CGCGUAGGUGGCCCAGUAAGCGUGCGGUGAAAGCUCGGGGCUCAACCCCGAGUCGGCCGUGCGAACUACUGGGCUGGAGCACUGUAGAGGCAGGCGGAAUUCCGGGUGUAGCGGUGGAAUGCGUAGAGAUCCGGAAGAACACCGGUGGCGAAGGCGGCCUGCUGGGCAGUUGCUGACACUGAGGCGCGACAGCGUGGGAGCAAACA
rnacentral:rRNA from 1 species